CGUGUCUGUGUCCGUUGUCUUCCACGUCAUAGGCCUUUGUUACGUCGCGAUGCUUUAUCAGCACUAUUCUGUGCCAUAUAGGCUGUAUUCUACUCACGUUCCUUUCUGGAUAUCCCUUAUUCUGGCAUCUUUACAUUUUUACUCUUUGAGACAGGAAUGUCUCAAACGGACAAGAUGUUCUCAUCCAUCUUCCUUCUCACUACCAGCUUUGGUAGUGCCUUUUUUUCCAUGCCAUUCUCUUGGACUGCUAGAGGGAGUGUCUUGCACCCUCCUCAUGAGACCGCAGUACUUCUAUAGGUUCCAUCUUCUGAAGGGUAUAGGACUCAAGAAUUCAUCUUCCAGCGAGUUAUCUCAAGUCCUGGCUUAUAUUGUGUGUACCUGUGCUGGCUUAUACUGUAUGUACCUACCCUCUAUGUACACUUGCACUGUAUGCAUCGACUUACAUUGUUGUGUGUACUUAUAUUGUACCACUUAUGGUUGGAGCUGCCCUGCCUGGGCACGUAGUCACAGUUAGGUAGAAGAGUUAUAAAAACUUUACUGUUCAUCUGUCUUUUAUGGGAUUUUGGGUAGAAAACUUAUUGGUUCAGAGUGGAGACAAGUCCUAGCUGUCAGAUAGCCACUCGUUGACCGCUUCCUGUCGUCUCACAGGUCCCCAAGGCUACCGAUUUCCCCAGAACCUACCAACUGACGUCAAGGAGCGCAGCCAGAAGAUGUGUCGCAGCACGUUCUUCAGCGUCUCGAGUAAGGGCCGCAGCGAGUGUGGAUUUUUCUCCUGAGAAGCCUCAGAACAGAAAUGGAACCAAUAACGAUCUGCUGGCUGUGGAGUGUGGGCUGGAGAUGGUUUAGCAACAGGGGCAUCUUGGAUUGGUCUCCUGUGCAGUGUCUACUUGAUGACCAAUCAUGGUCCAGCUGCGUCGGGGCUGUGAGCAGUCCCAGGUUUUUAUUAUUCAUUCCUUUCCAGCUUUCUGAUGUCUCCUUGCUCUUUUAGUAUAGUUCUACUAUCUCAUUUUCUUUUAAUAUAAUAGAGAUCAUAAAAUAAUAUUUCAGCCUUCUGAAA